GUCCCCAUAGCUCAAUGGAUAGAGUACGGGUUUGCGGAACCCGGGAUGGAGGUCCGAUUCCUCUUGGGGACA
rfam:Parcubacteria (Giovannonibacteria) bacterium GW2011_GWA2_44_26 TW55_C0002, whole genome shotgun sequence.